GAUGUCGGCUCAUCACAUCCUGGGGCUGAAGUAGGUCCCAAGGGUAUGGCUGUUCGCCAUUUAAAGUGGUACGCGAGCUGGGUUUAGAACGUCGUGAGACAGUUCGGUCCCUAUCUGCCGUGGGCGUUGGAUGAUUGAUUGGGGCUGCUCCUAGUACGAGAGGACCGGAGUGGACGCAUCACUGGUGUUCCAGUUGUCUCGCCAGAGGCAUUGCUGGGUAGCUAAAUGCGGAAGAGAUAAGUGCUGAAAGCAUCUAAGCACGAAACUUGCCAAGAGAUGAGUCAUCCCUGACUUUAAGUCAGUAAGGGUUGUUGUAGACUACGACGUAGAUAGGUCAGGUGUGUAAGUGUAGUGAUACAUUGAGCUAACAGAUACUAAUUGCCCGAGAGGCUUAACUAUACAACGCUCAAG
rnacentral:rRNA from 1 species